rnacentral:lncRNA from 10 species
CGUUCCCCAGAGGACGCUGCCCUCCCGAGGAACCUCCCUCCUCUCUCCACCCACGGGGGCAGGCGCAUUCCUGGCUGGCACCUCGGGGGAUUUAGGAUUUCUUCCUAACGAGCUCUCAGUCAGUCACCUGGGCUGUGCGUGAGUUCAUGUCUUCAGGAGCUGAGGACUACGAGGCAUCACAAAAGUGGCCACGAGAGGCAGGUAAAGGCCCCCAAAGUCUUCACCAUCGUCCGCCUCAGAAAAUCACUUGUCUGAUGGCGUCAACCAGCCUGUCCAGGCCACACAGCGCACAGAUACUGGGUCAGAUAUUACCCUGGUUGUUUCUUCAAGGUGUUUUUGGAAGAGACUGACAUUUCAGUAGGCAGAGUAAAGCAGAUUGCCUUCCCUAAUGUGGACCGCUGGCCUGUGCACCGGGCAAGGCCCUGCCCCCCACCACCCCCACCUGCGGGGAGCCUCAUCUGUGUGCUCCACGUUUGGGGCUGCCUGAAAGAUUCCCUGGGAGAAUCCCUCUCUGCUUGGAACCACUGACUUGGAGAGUGGUCUCAGUUACCUCUGGGCACACCAAGGCCGGGGAGCGAGCCCGUCUCACGCCGUGUGACCACCCCUUCCUAACGGUGGAAACCGGCCCUCUCCACCCAGGUCACCCGCCUCCACCUGGAGGGGUCAGGUCCUCAGGGAUCAGGUGUCUGUGAAAACAAUCCCGAGAGUCAUCCGGAAGCUCCAUUUCCAGCCAGGGAAAGGAGUGUCCUCAGAGAGCUUCCGGGGAAGCCAGCCCUAUGAAGCCCUCCACGUUCACCAGGAGUUCAUCGCAGCUGCGGCCAGGCUGGGAAGGAGAGGUGGCCACAGGCAGGCAGCGUGUCUGUUCCGGAUGCAAAGCGCAGCCCCAGCCCCGCCCGCUGGAGCCCUCUCUGGCGCUGGGUGGACAAAGCUGCAGUGCGCCGGCCAGGGAAGGCCGAGGAGCCGCCCAGGCGAGGCCCGAGCUGCCUGGUGGCAUCUGUGUGGACCCCAGGCCAUGUCACUGCCUCAGCACACUCGACCUCCAACUCACAUUCCUCACAGGUGGCCCGGGAAAGGGGACCACCCACUCGGCAGGAGCUCCCUGAGCCAGCUCAGUGGAUGGAGCAAACUGACUUGGAAAUCAAAGUGAUGCCCAGACGGAGCAAGAGACAGCCCCGGACCAGCCCCCGGGCCACACCCGCGCACCAGCCAGGACCAGGCCCCGCGGAGGCUUGCUGGGAAGCUGGCGCUGUGUUGUUUCCCCCGCCAGCUGCUCGCUUCCUCCCGGGCUCACUGGAGUGCAAACUGCUUUCACUUGUUUGAAAUGGAAAUUUUUUCGUCUCUUUAUACUUAUUGUCACUUGUAUUUUUCUCCCCAGAAAUGGGGAUUUGGACGUGAAGGCGGCUUGUGUGUGCGUUUCCGUGUGCGUGAACAGACACAUCUGUUUCC